rnacentral:rRNA from 1 species
UACGGGGGGGGCAAGCGUUGUUCGGAAUUACUGGGCGUAAAGGGCUCGUAGGCGGCCAACUAAGUCAGACGUGAAAUCCCUCGGCUUAACCGGGGAACUGCGUCUGAUACUGGAUGGCUUGAGUUUGGGAGAGGGACGCGGAAUUCCAGGUGUAGCGGUGAAAUGCGUAGAUAUCUGGAGGAACACCGGUGGCGAAGGCGGCGCCCUGGACCAACACUGACACUGAUGAGCGAAAGCCAGGGGAGCAAACGGG